rfam:Chryseobacterium sp. IHB B 17019, complete genome.
UUGGGGGUAGCUGAAAACCCAUCAACAGAGUAGGCA